rnacentral:rRNA from 1 species
GGGGAAUAUUGCACAAUGGGGGAAACCCUGAUGCAGCAACGCCGCGUGAAGGAAGACGGUUUUCGGAUUGUAAACUUCUGUUCUUAGUGAAGAAUAAUGACGGUAGCUAAGGAGCAAGCCACGGCUAACUACGUGCCAGCAGCCGCGGUAAUACGUAGGUGGCAAGCGUUGUCCGGAAUUACUGGGUGUAAAGGGAGCGUAGGCGGGAUGCCAAGUCAGCUGUGAAAACUAUGGGCUUAACCUGUAGACUGCAGUUGAAACUGGUAUUCUUGAGUGGAGUAGAGGUUGGCGGAAUUCCGAGUGUAGCGGUGAAAUGCGUAGAUAUUCGGAGGAACACCGGUGGCGAAGGCGGCCAACUGGGCUUUAACUGACGCUGAGGCUCGAAAGUGUGGGGAGCAAACAGGAUUAGAUACCCUGGUAGUCCACACUGUAAACGAUGAUAACUAGGUGUGGGGGGUCUGACCCCUUCCGUGCCGCAGCUAACGCAAUAAGUUAUCCACCUGGGGAGUACGACCGCAAGGUUGAAACUCAAAGGAAUUGACGGGGACCCGCACAAGCAGUGGAUUAUGUGGUUUAAUUCGAAGCAACGCGAAGAACCUUACCAGCACUUGACAUCCGACUAACGAAGUAGAGAUACAUUAGGUGCCCUUCGGGGAAAGUCGAGACAGGUGGUGCAUGGUUGUCGUCAGCUCGUGUCGUGAGAUGUUGGGUUAAGUCCCGCAACGAGCGCAACCCCUGCCAUUAGUUGCUACGCAAGAGCACUCUAAUGGGACCGCUACCGACAAGGUGGAGGAAGGUGGGGACGACGUCAAAUCAUCAUGCCCCUUAUGUGCUGGGCUACACACGUAAUACAAUGGCCAUCAACAAAGAGAAGCAAUACCGCGAGGUGGAGCAAAACUUCAAAAAUGGUCUCAGUUCGGACUGCAGGCUGCAACCCGCCUGCACGAAGUUGGAAUUGCUAGUAAUCGUGGAUCAGCAUGCCACGGUGAAUACGUUCCCG